rnacentral:rRNA from 1 species
AGGUGAACUGCGGAGGGAUCAUUACCGAGUUUACAACUCCCAAACCCAAAUGUGAACAUACCUUUCAGUUGCUUCGCGGACUGCCCCCAGAGUCCGGAUCGGCCCUGUGCCGUCGCGCGCCUGGAGCCAGCGGCCGCCGGAGACAUAAACUCUUCUGUAUUGACCAGUCUCUUCUGAAUCCGCCGCAAGGCACUAUAAAUGAAUCAAAACUUUCAACAACGGAUCUCUUGGUUCUGGAUCGAUGAAGAACGCAGCGAAAUGCGAUAAGUAAUGUGAAUUGCAGAAUUCAGUGAUCAUCGAUCUUUGAACGCACAUUGGCCGAGCAUUCUGGCGGCAUGCCUGUUCGAGCGUCAUUUCAACCCUCGAGCUCCCCUUGGGGAGCCCGGCGUUGGGGACGGCAGCAUACCGCCGGCCCUGAAAUGGAGUGGCGGCCCGUCCGCGGCGACCUCUGCGUAGUAAACAUCACCUCGCACCGGAAACCCGACGUGGCCACGCCGUAAAACACCCAACUUUCUGAACGUUGACCUCGGAUCAGGUAGGAAUACCCGCUGAACUUAAGCAUAUCAAUAAGCGGAGG